rnacentral:rRNA from 1 species
AUUGAACGCUGGCGGCAUGCUUUACACAUGCAAGUCGAACGGUAACAGGCCUUCGGGUGCUGACGAGUGGCGAACGGGUGAGUAAUGCAUCGGAACGUACCCAGAGGUGGGGGAUAACGCAGCGAAAGCUGUGCUAAUACCGCAUGUGAUCUGAGGAUGAAAGCGGGGGACCGAGCAGCAAUGUUUGGCCUCGCGCCUUUGGAGCGGCCGAUGUCGGAUUAGCUAGUUGGUGGGGUAAAGGCCUACCAAGGCGACGAUCCGUAGCUGGUCUGAGAGGACGACCAGCCACACUGGGACUGAGACAUGGCCCAGACUCCUACGGGAGGCAGCAGUGGGGAAUUUUGGACAAUGGGCGCAAGCCUGAUCCAGCAAUGCCGCGUGCGGGAAGAAGGCCUUCGGGUUGUAAACCGCUUUUGGCAGGAACGAAACGGUGUCCGCUAAUACCGGGCGCUAAUGACGGUACCUGCAGAAUAAGCACCGGCUAACUACGUG